GCAUCUGUAGUGCAGUGGUUAGCAUAUCUGCUUCCCAUCGUGGAAUUAGCAGGGGGUCGCGAGUUCGAACCUCGCCAGAUGCA